UGGGGAAUAUUGCACAAUGGAGGGAACUCUGAUGCAGCGAUGCCGCAUGAGGGAAGAAGGUUUUAGGAUUGUAAACCUCUGUCUUCAGGGACGAAAUAAAUGACGGUACCUGAGGAGGAAGCUCCGGCUAACUACGUGCCAGCAGCCGCGGUAAUACGUAGGGAGCGAGCGUUGUCCGGAAUUACUGGGUGUAAAGGGAGCGUAGGCGGGAUUGCAAGUCAGAUGUGAAAUGUAUGGGCUUAACCCAUAAAUUGCAUUUGAAACUGUAGUUCUUGAGUGAAGUAGAGGUAAGCGGAAUUCCUAGUGUAGCGGUGAAAUGCGUAGAUAUUAGGAGGAACUCCGAUUGCGAAGGCAGCUGACUGUAUCGUAACUGACGCUGAAGCUCGAAAGUGUGGGUAUCGAACAGGAUUAGAUACCC
rnacentral:rRNA from 1 species